UCACUACUUGCGCAGGCAGUCUCGCUAGAGUCCCCGGCAUAACCCGCUGGUAACUAGCAAUAGGGGUUGCGUUCGUUGCGGGACUUAACCCAACAUCUCACGACACGAACUGACGACAGCCAUGCAGCACCUCGCUACGAGCCCGAAGGAGGACCCCUUUCAGGGCCUGUCCCGUAGCGUUCGAGCCUGGGUAAGGUUCUUCGCGUUGCAUCGAAUUAAGCCACAUGCUCCACCGCUUGUGCGGGCCCCCGUCAAUUCCUUUGAGUUUCAGUCUUGCGACCGUACUCCCCAGGCGGAGUGCUUAAUGCGUUAGCUGCAGCACUAAAGGGCGGAAACCCUCUAACACUUAGCACUCAUCGUUUACGGCUGGGACUAC
rnacentral:misc_RNA from 1 species